UGCCAAUGAUGACAGAUAGUAAGGCUUGUUUCUCAAAACAUUCGCAGUGGCCGCCUAAGAGCUUUCGCCUCUCCAGGCUUGAGAGUUUAUGCUGCUCAGUUCUUCCUUGGAUGUCUGAGGCC
rfam:Musa acuminata subsp. malaccensis Doubled-haploid Pahang (DH-Pahang) genomic chromosome, chr8